rnacentral:rRNA from 1 species
GACGAACGCUGGCGGCGUGCUUAACACAUGCAAGUCGAACGGAAAGGCCCUGCUUGCAGGGUACUCGAGUGGCGAACGGGUGAGUAACACGUGGGUGAUCUGCCCUACACUUCGGGAUAAGCCUGGGAAACUGGGUCUAAUACCGGAUAGGAGCCAUUUUUAGUGUGAUGGUUGGAAAGUUUUUUCGGUGUAGGAUGAGCUCGCGGCCUAUCAGCUUGUUGGUGGGGUAAUGGCCUACCAAGGCGGCGACGGGUAGCCGGCCUGAGAGGGUGGACGGCCACAUUGGGACUGAGAUACGGCCCAGACUCCUACGGGAGGCAGCAGUGGGGAAUAUUGCACAAUGGGCGCAAGCCUGAUGCAGCGACGCCGCGUGGGGGAUGACGGCCUUCGGGUUGUAAACUCCUUUCGUUAGGGACGAAGCUUUUUGUGACGGUACCUAGAGAAGAAGCACCGGCUAACUACGUG